ACCCCUGUGACAUACCUAUACGUUGCCUCGGCGGAUCAGCCCGCGCCCCGUAAAAAGGGACGGCCCGCCCGAGGACCCCUAAACUCUGUUUUUAGUGGAACUUCUGAGUAAAACAAACAAAUAAAUCAAAACUUUCAACAACGGAUCUCUUGGUUCUGGCAUCGAUGAAGAACGCAGCAAAAUGCGAUAAGUAAUGUGAAUUGCAGAAUUCAGUGAAUCAUCGAAUCUUUGAACGCACAUUGCGCCCGCCAGUAUUCUGGCGGGCAUGCCUGUUCGAGCGUCAUUUCAACCCUCAAGCUCAGCUUGGUGUUGGGACUCGCGGUAACCCGCGUUCCCCAAAUCGAUUGGCGGUCACGUCGAGCUUCCAUAGCGUAGUAAUCAUACACCUCGUUACUGGUAAUCGUCGCGGCCACGCCGUAAAACCCCAACUUCUGAAUGUUGACCUCGGAUCAGGUAGGAAUACCCGCUGAACUUAAGCAUAUCA
rnacentral:rRNA from 1 species